rnacentral:rRNA from 1 species
AUUAUACAGCGAAACUGCGAAUGGCUCAUUAAAUCAGUUAUCGUUUAUUUGAUAGUACCUUACUACUUGGAUAACCGUGGUAAUUCUAGAGCUAAUACAUGCUAAAAAUCCCGACUUCGGAAGGGAUGUAUUUAUUAGAUUAAAAACCAAUGCCCUCCGGGGCUCACUGGUGAUUCAUGAUAACUUCUCGAAUCGCAUGGCCUUGCGCCGGCGAUGGUUCAUUCAAAUUUCUGCCCUAUCAACUUUCGACGGCUGGGUCUUGGCCAGCCAUGGUGACAACGGGUAACGGAGGGUUAGGGCUCGACCCCGGAGAAGGAGCCUGAGAAACGGCUACUACAUCCAAGGAAGGCAGCAGGCGCGCAAAUUACCCAAUCCCGACUCGGGGAGGUAGUGACAAUAAAUACUGAUACAGGGCUCUUUUGGGUCUUGUAAUUGGAAUGAGUACAAUUUAAAUCCCUUAACGAGGAACAAUUGGAGGGCAAGUCUGGUGCCAGCAGCCGCGGUAAUUCCAGCUCCAAUAGCGUAUAUUAAAGUUGUUGCAGUUAAAAAGCUCGUAGUUGAACCUUGGGUCUGGCUGGCCGGUCCGCCUCACCGCGUGCACUGGUCCGGCCGGACCUUUCCCUCUGGGGAACCGCAUGCCCUUCACUGGGUGUGCCGGGGAACCAGGACUUUUACUUUGAAAAAAUUAGAGUGUUUAAAGCAGGCCUUUGCUCGGAUACAUUAGCAUGGAAUAAUAGAAUAGGACGUGUGGUUCUAUUUUGUUGGUUUUUAGGACCGCCGUAAUGAUUAAUAGGGACAGUCGGGGGCAUUAGUAUUCAAUUGUCAGAGGUGAAAUUCUUGGAUUUAUUGAAGACUAACUAUUGCGAAAGCAUUUGCCAAGGAUGUUUUCAUUAAUCAGGAACGAAAGUUAGGGGAUCGAAGACGAUCAGAUACCGUCGUAGUCUUAACCAUAAACUAUGCCGACUAGGGAUCGGACGAUGUUAUUCUUUGACUCGUUCGGCACCUUACACGAAAGUACAAGUUUC